rnacentral:rRNA from 1 species
CCUACGGGAGGCAGCAGUGAGGAAUAUUGGUCAAUGGCCGGAAGGCUGAACCAGCCAUGCCGCGUGAAGGUCAGUGCCCUAUGGGCGUUAAACUUCUUUUGUGCGGGAGCAAUAAUGGUCACGUGUGGCCAGACGAGAGUACCGUACGAAUAAGCAUCGGCUAACUCCGUGCCAGGAGCCGCGGGAAUACGGGGGAUGCAAGCGUUAUCCGGAUUUGUUGGGUUUAAGGGGUGCGUAGGCUGUGAGGUAAGUCAGCGGUGAAAUGCCCCCGCUCAACGGGGUGAAGUGCCAUUGAUACUGCCUUGCUGGAAUGCGGAUGCCGUGGGAGGAAUGUGUGGUGUAGCGGUGAAAUGCAUAGAUAUCACACAGAACACCGAUUGCGAAGGCAUCUCACGAAUCCGCGAUUGACGCUGAUGCACGAAAGCGUGGGUAUCAAACAGGAUUAGAUACCCUUGUAGUC